GAUCAUGGCUCAGGAUGAACGCUAGCUACAGGCUUAACACAUGCAAGUCGAGGGGCAGCAUGGUCUUAGCUUGCUAAGGCCGAUGGCGACCGGCGCACGGGUGAGUAACACGUAUCCAACCUGCCGUCUACUCUUGGACAGCCUUCUGAAAGGAAGAUUAAUACAAGAUGGCAUCAUGAGUCCGCAUGUUCACAUGGUUAAAGGUAUUCCGGUAGGCGAUGGGGA
rnacentral:rRNA from 1 species